AUUGAACGCUGGCGGCAGGCCUAACACAUGCAAGUCGAGCGGAUGAGUGGAGCUUGCUCCAUGAUUCAGCGGCGGACGGGUGAGUAAUGCCUAGGAAUCUGCCUGGUAGUGGGGGACAACGUUUCGAAAGGAACGCUAAUACCGCAUACUUCCUACGGGAGAAAGCAGGGGACCUUCGGGCCUUGCGCUAUCAGAUGAGCCUAGGUCGGAUAAGCUAGUUGGGGAGGUAAAGGCUCACCAAGGCGACGAUCCGUAACUGGUCUGAGAGGAUGAUCAGUCACACUGGAACUGAGACACGGUCCAGACUCCUACGGGAGGCAGCAGUGGGGAAUAUUGGACAAUGGGCGAAAGCCUGAUCCAGCCAUGCCGCGUGUGUGAAGAAGGUCUUCGGAUUGUAAAGCACUUUAAGUUGGGAGGAAGGGCAGUAAGUUAAUACCUUGCUGUUUUGACGUUACCGACAGAAUAAGCACCGGCUAACUUCGUGCCAGCCGCCGCGGUAAGAC
rnacentral:rRNA from 1 species